rnacentral:rRNA from 1 species
CUAUGUGUUGUUGGGUAGGGGAGCGUUCUGUAAGCCUGUGAAGGUGGCCUGUGAGGGUUGCUGGAGGUAUCAGAAGUGCGAAUGCUGACAUAAGUAACGAUAAAGCGGGUGAAAAGCCCGCUCGCCGGAAGACCAAGGGUUCCUGUCCAACGUUAAUCGGGGCAGGGUGAGUCGACCCCUAAGGCGAGGCCGAAAGGCGUAGUCGAUGGGAAACAGGUUAAUAUUCCUGUACUUGGUGUUACUGCGAAGGGGGGACGGAGAAGGCUAUGUUGGCCGGGCGACGGUUGUCCCGGUUUAAGCGUGUAGGCUGGUUUUCCAGGCAAAUCCGGAAAACCAAGGCUGAGGCGUGAUGAC